GCCCUGGUGGCACAGUGGUUAAAUGCCUGUACUGCAGCUACUCACUUAUAGACCACAAGGUUGCAAGUUCAAUACUACCCAGGGCU
rnacentral:tRNA from 1 species